rnacentral:lncRNA from 1 species
GUUGAUGCUGUACUGCAAAAGACAUUAAUUCUUUAUGCCUCUGAAUCUGUUUUUUACAUAAUGGUUAAAAAAAACAGAUUUGGUCUGUGUGGUCACUCCUGUGUCAUCAGAGGUGUCUCAUCUAGGUGGAGUUGAAUCAAGCAAAGACUUUAAGGCUCAUAUUAUCAAAAUGUCAAUGAUUCACCCGUUCAAAAAAUUAAUCCAUCAGCCUUAAAGGCUCCCCUGCUUUCACUGCUUUGUGCUGAAGUGUAUUAACCAGCUGCUUUCAUUCAUCAGUGUUAUAAUCAAAGAGGAUAUUACUCAUUUGUGUUGCUGUCUAGCCCAUAAAAAGAUCACUCUGCAUUUCCAGACGAGACAAUUUAACAAACAAAAAAAACUAAGUACCGUGUGACAUUUUAAUAUAUCAACAUGCACAUAAGAGCCGUGAAUAACACUCAUGCAUAUAUAUAUAUAUUUUUAAUCAUCUUUUAAUUCCAAAGUUUUUUCAUUCUUUAUUUCUCUCUUGUAUUUAUAGCUGCUGUAAAUUUGGAAUUUCCCCUUGUGGGAUGAAUAAAGGAAUAUCUUAUCUCUAAUCUCACCUUACAUUAUCACACUAUCGCUGCUUCCACCUCAGAGAAAUGCCUUUCUCAGAGUUAAAACUAUAUAUUUGAUUUGCCCUCCAGUUUCUAAAGGUCAGGAAAAAAUACAAAGAUAAAAGACUAGGGCCCCGGUGGGGCACUGGCGGGCCCGAGCCGUGUCGCGCCGCCCCCAGCACGACCGCCUCCCCCUCCCAAUCGCGUCACACUCAAGGUCCAAAGAUGGUGUGCGCACUUGUCUGUGGUCAUUUACCAUUAUAAUGAAUGGGAGGCGCAGUUUCUACCAAAACGCUUGCUGCAGACAAACUACAUGUCCUAUUUGAAAAAAGUCUGGAACAUGAGUGAGGGCACAAACACAGCUUCGAGAUAUCCAAAUGGCAAGUGACUCCUCUUUCCGGUUUUGCCGAGAGAGCGAUGCGUUUGAGCCAUUGAGCGAUGGGCAGGAAAAACUUGACUUUUUCUCCUGCCAUAGGGGGGCGCUCUUUUUGGGGAGAAAAAAUUCCUUCACAAAUGUGUUGAUGGCUGAACAUUGCAUCAUCCUAGAAAACUUGGAGGCCAGUGAGGACCAAAAUACAAGUUACAAGACUUUUAAGAAUGUGGAUAUUUGGGUCCUCUCUGGCGCCCCCUUGAACCUAAACCGUGGGGUGCAGCGUCAUGAUUUGUACAACAUUGAAAGGCCAUGGGGUGUAGAUUGGCCUGAGCAAAUUUGGUGUUGGUGGGACGAAAGCUUUAGGAGGAGUUAGCCACAUUCCAAUGUGUGGAAUGUGGAUUUUUGGGUCAUCUUUGGCGCCCCCUAGAACGUAAACCGUGGAGUGCAGCGUCAUGAUUUUUACAACUUUGAAUGGCCAUGGGGUGUAGAUUGGCCUGAGCAAAUUUGGUGUCAGUGGGACGAAAGCCUUAGGAGUAGUUAGCCACAUUCCAAUGUGUGCGGAUCGGCAAAAAAUGCAAAAUAGCCCUUUAACCGUACAUUUUACAGAUACGUGCGCAUUGACUUUUUCGUAGAUCUUAUUGAGAUACACGUGAUUGUCAAAUUUUGUGUCAAUAUGACAAAGCGUACAGGCGUGACACUCAACAAUGUGUAUUUUCACCUUAGGGGACAAGAAAAAAUUGACUUUUUUCUCCUUCCAUGGGGGGGCGCUCUUUUGGGGAGUAAAAAUUCCUUCACAAAUUAGUGGAGCAGACAAAUGCAUAAUAUAGCCCGAAUCGUUCACUUUGUUAUACAAGCAUGAAAUUUGGUACAUAUACUCUUCAAACCCCACUCUUUUCAAAAAUAACGUUAGCCACGCAAAAUUCCAAGAUGGCGGCCCCAAAAUCCAAGAUGUCCGCCCCAAAAAUGUGGUUUUUCCUUUAUAACUCAAAAUGACUUGAUUUUAAGCCCCAUACAUAUAUUGAAGUUGAAUAUAAAGUUGGGUAUUGCGGACAUUUUGGUAGCCAGUACAUUUCUGUAUCCAUUACGGUUCUCGAGAUACAGCAUAUAGAUACUUGUACAGAAUUGGGAGAGUGAGAAAUUUGUAACACCGAUUGUUGUUACGUGCAUAUGGUUGCAUGAAAAUAUCAUUUUCAUUAUCUGUUAUUUUCAUGAGGGUUAUAACAUUAAAUUUGAAAAACAAGAUGGUGUCCAAGUUGGCUGCCAUUGCCUUGAAG